GACGAACGCUGGCGGCGUGCUUAACACAUGCAAGUCGAACGGAAAGGCCCUGCUUUUGUGGGGUGCUCGAGUGGCGAACGGGUGAGUAACACGUGAGUAACCUGCCCUUGACUUUGGGAUAACUUCAGGAAACUGGGGCUAAUACCGGAUAGGAGCUCCUGCUGCAUGGUGGGGGUUGGAAAGUUUCGGCGGUUGGGGAUGGACUCGCGGCUUAUCAGCUUGUUGGUGGGGUAGUGGCUACCAAGGCUUUUACGGGUAGCCGGCCUGAGAGGGUGACCGGCCACAUUGGGACUGAGAUACGGCCCAGACUACUACGGGAGGCAGCAGUGGGGAAUAUUGCACAAUGGGCGGAAGCCUGAUGCAGCAACGCCGCGUGCGGGAUGACGGCCUUCGGGUUGUAAAACGCUUUCGCAUGUGACGAAGCGUGAGUGACGGUAAUGGGUAAAGAAGCACCGGCUAACUACGUG
rnacentral:rRNA from 1 species